rnacentral:rRNA from 1 species
UACGUAGGGGGCGAGCGUUGUCCGGAAUCAUUGGGCGUAAAGCGCGCGUAGGCGGCCCGGUAAGUCCGCUGUAAAAGUCAAAGGCUUAACCUUUGAAUGUCAGUGGAUACUGCCGGGCUAGAGUCCGGAAGAGGCGAGUGGAACUCCUGGUGUAGCGGUGGAAUGCGCAGAUAUCAGGAAGAACACCGACGGCGAAGGCAGCUCGCUGGGACGGUACUGACGCUGAGGCGCGAAAGCGUGGGGAGCGAACAGG